rnacentral:rRNA from 1 species
UACGUAGGGCGCAAGCGUUGUCCGGAAUUAUUGGGCGUAAAGAGCUCGUAGGUGGUUUGUCGCGUCUGCCGUGAAAGCCCGGGGCUUAACUCCGGGUCUGCGGUGGAUACGGGCAGACUAGAGGCAGGUAGGGGAGAACGGAAUUCCCGGUGUAGCGGUGAAAUGCGUAGAUAUUGGGAAGAACACCAGCGGCGAAAGCGCGUGACUGGGCCGGAACUGACACUCAUGGACGAAAGCUAGGGGAGCGAAAGGG